CACACCUCCACAGAAAUGGUUUUUGUUUUCAAAUAAAUUUUUUUCAUAUUCUGCCAUUUGUGCUUUUACUUUACUUUUAAACUUUUGCUGAUUCCCAAUUUUUAAGAGUCCUGGGUGUCCACAGUUCCAUGGGCCCAGAACAGUGAGGAGCAGCAGGGCCAUGGAGGGGGUCCCAACCACAGUCCCAGGCUGACCCUCUACUCUUCCAUUUCUUGCUUCUCUCCAGGCAUUGUUUCAGUUUCACAGUUUCACUCCAUCUGCUUCCCUAGGUAGCUGCAGUUCUCUCUCUGCCUUUAGGGUACAGAGACCCUGGAACACCUUCUCCUUUCCUCAUUGGCUUCCAAUUAUCUGCAAAUCAUCACACUUUAGCAUCUUCGAUGGGCCCCGGGAUCUAGGAUAGAGUAACCGGCUCAGCAAGAGUGGUUCUCCAGCCUAUUCAUGGUGGGACAGUAGGGUCCAGGAAGCACAGUCCUCCCUGCUGGCAUUUCUCAUUCCCCAGACCUUGGUCUUCCAUCCUUCUUCAAUCCCCUCCUGUUUUUUCCUGUUACCCCAAUUCCUUUGUUAAACAUCAACCUCCUCUUUGGAGACACAUGUCAGACCACCUAACUCUCCUCUCAUUCUCUUGUCCCGAAUCUUCUUCCUUUCAUGCCCUCCGCCUAUGCAAUGCUGUUCAUAAUAAAAAUACACCUUUGAAAGUUCACAAAAAUAAAAAGGUGGUGUCUCCUCUAGAGAUAUCCUUGCAGCUGUUGUCGAUCACUCUACAGAGACCGUAGAUCUGAGUAACUGAGAAAUACAUCUUUGUCUAUGACCAGCAGAUCAUCUUAAGACCUUGAGUCUUUUUUUUUUUUUGGAGAUGGAGUCUCACUCUGUCGUCCAGGCUGGAGUGCAGUGGCGUGAUCUUGGCUCACUGCAAGCUCCACGUCCCGGGUUCAUGCCAUUCUCCCGCCUCAGCCUCCUGAGUAGCUGGGACUACAGGCCCCCACCACCACACCCGGCUAAUUUUUUUGUAUUUUUAGUAGAGACGGGGUUUCACCGUGUUAACCAGGAUGGUCUCAAUCUCCUGACCUCGUGAUCCGCCUGCCUUGUCCUCCCAAAGUGCUGGGAUUACAGGCGUGAGCCACCGCGCCCAGCCGAACUUGAGUCUUCUUAAUCAAGCCUCAUGCCUGACUGGACACUGAAAAAGAGGUGAAGAGAUAAGAGGCGAUAGAACAAAAGAACAGAAAGAUAAUGAAGCUGAGACUAAGUAAGUGAAAGGUGAAUAAAAUUCUCUCGUGUUGACUUGCAGAAAGGAAUGUGUAAUGUGUGUUUCUAUUCAUUAGAUGAAUUAUUUUAUUCAUUCAGUCAUUUAUUCAUACUAUUUGAAUUAAUUUAUUUGAAUAAGUAAUACAUUUACAUCAUUCAAAUCCAAAAAGCAUAAGGGGGUACAAUGUCCCCCUCUCAAUUCUACCCUUAGCUUCCCAGUUCCAUUCUCCAGAGGAAACAAAUUGUUUGGUAUCAAAAUAGAAAUGUUUCUAUGAAUAUACAAGGAAAUACAUAUAUAUAUAAAUUCUUCCCUUUUCCUCUUGUUUACACAAAUGGAAUCAUACCAUAUACACUUUCUAAAUCUUGCUUUUUUUCCACUUAGCAUAAUAUCCUAGAGAUAUUUUCAUGUAAGUACAUUAGAAUGUCCUCAUUCCUUUUUAUGGUUCCAUGGUGCUUUAUUGUAUGGAUGUAACUUUAUUUUUCCAGUCCCCUACUGGUGAACAUUUGCUUCAAAUCUUUUGCUGUUCCAAACAAUGCUGAUUUUGUGCAUACAUAAUUAUGAGCACCUUAGUGAGUGUACCCGUGGCAUAAACUUGCGGAAGUAGAAUUGUUAGGCCAAAAGGCAUGUGCAACCUGAUGUAAUUGUAUCAAGAAUGUAUCUGAAUGCCUGUCACCUCUCACUCUUGUCAAUACAGUGUGUUACCAACCUUUUUGACCUUUGCCAAUCAGAUAGGUGAUAAUGUUCUCUCUUUUCACUUGUGUUAUUAUGAGUGUGGUUGAGCCAUUUGUAUUUCGUUUUUUGUAGAUUGUUUCUAUCUUUUGCCGUUUAUUAAAAUUUAAUGUUUACCUUAUCAAAGUUAUACAUGCACUCAGUUUGAAGAGUCAACUUGUUCUGCAAAGCUUGUUAAGGAAAACAGAAAUUCCUUUCCCCAUACCAUAAUUUUUUCCCACUCCCUACAGGUAACCACUCUCAAAUUUUUUAUAUAAUUAUCUUUGUACUUUAGUUUAUAUCUCAAAUUAAUAUAUAGUAGAAUAAAUACCAACGAAUAGACACGAAUUUACAUAUGCAAGAAGCUUAACAGCUCCAAGCAGGAUAAACCCAAAGGGAUUCACACUGAGACACAUUGUAGUCACACUGCUGAAAGCAAAAAACAGAGAAUCUUGAAAACAACAACAAAGAAGAAAGUCAUCACACACACGGAAUUCUCAAUAACAUUAAUAGCAUAUUUUUCAUCAAAAACCCUGAAGGACAGAAGGAAGGACAAUGACAUAUUUAAAGUGCUGAAACAAAAAAAAGAACUGUCAGCCAAGAACUUGCAUCUAGCAAAAUUAUCAUUCAAAUGAAAGAGAAAUUUGGAUUGUCCCAGAUAAACAAAAACUGAAGGAGUUCAUUGCAAACAGACCUGUCCUACAACACAUGCUAACAGGAGUCCUCCAUGUCAAAAUGAAAGUUUGGCAGGUUGCAAAGAGUGGUCUGCAGGCUUCAACAAGCCAUUUAACCUGUCAGAGUCAUAGCCUGCUGUUCUCUAAUAAAGAAAAUUAAUCACCCUUACUUUGAACAGUGGCUUUGAGAAUAAGAUUGAAUAUACACACAUAGGACUUUGUCUGACAUAUUGUGGGUAGGGCCAGACCAUAGAAUUGUGAAGGCCAUGCACUGUGCAAUUCAGGAAAUGUCAUUUGCAUAGCCUGUGAGAAAAUGGCAACCCCUGGAGUUGUGGAACACCAUGGUCUUGGUCAUGGACAUUCAAUCAAUGACAGCAGAAACUCACAACAUCUGUCCUCUCUUACAAUUUAGAGAUCUGCUCAUUUUUCAUAAUGCUAAAACUGCCUCCUUCGCUGUCCUCUUUUACAAAAUUGGAAAAAAGAAAAUGUAGAGAUUAUGCUGCUCUCAUAUAUUCCUUUUUACUCAUUUAAAAAACUUCUGAAGGAUAAUGCUUGAAUUGGAGCAGGAUUUUUUUAAUUAAACGCCUUUGUGCAUUUAUACACACCACCAGACCAGGGUAUAUCGGCUCAAACAUCCUACAAUGUGCAUGCAAGAAGCAGAGUAUCUCUCUCCACAGACAAGUGAAGAAAAUUUUAUUUUUUUCAGUCACUUUAUUAUACAAGCUCUUUCCUCAUUGUAUUUAAUCCUCAGUUAUAUGAGUAAUAGUCUCUAUUUCCUUAUCUUUGUUUUCACUGAUGUAAAUAAGGAGAGCAGUACAAAUUUAACAAACUCAUCAACAUUCAUGAAUUCAUUCACCAAAUAUUUUUGAGCUCUUCCUAGGUGCUAGGCACUGUCCCAUGCACCAGGAAUAUGCUGAGAAACACAGCAGACAAAUUCGUGUCCUUGUGGACCUUCCAUUUUUGAGGAGGAGGCAGAUGAUAUAUAAGCAAUACAACACACAAAUAAUGUAACCAGGGAGUGAUACCUAUUAUUUUACAGCUGUGUUUCUCUGAGUCCUCUCUUCGCUGUAAACCUGGGUAGACACCUUGAAAAGAUUACACCAAGUAAAUAUGAAAAAUAAAUUUUAUUUCAGUUUCAUUUUAUUGUGUUAACCUCCUAUCCUAUUUGCUUUUGUAUUUUUUUAAGCAUAAUUAUGUAUGCAGCCACAAGUGGCGCACAAAGCAAUUACUGCUUGUGGGAAUUUGAGAGAUGCUCUUUGAGGAGGUGUGAGGGAAUCAGUAAUACUUGCAGUGACUUUUGAGGAGGUGGAGUGUGCUGAUGAAGAUGCCACAAAGAACUGAUGGGAAGUUAUUCCUCUCCCCAACUGCUAUUGUAUCCUUCCUGUAGUGCUGUCUCUGCUUUUUGCAUCUUGCCCAGUAUAUUAUGACACAAAUAAAAAUUCUCUUUUCAUCAUCUUGCAACUUGUAAGAGGCCUGAGAGAAUUCUUGUGCAGGGCCCUUAGAACACACAUGAAAAGAUAAUUUAUUAAAACAUUAAAUUCAUAUAAAAUCUUCCUAUAUUUUCUUUCUAUCCCACCUCAUUUUUGGGCUCAGAUCACAAGCUGCCUAAGUGCAUGGCUUUCAGGGUGUCUGUUGUAAAAACCUCAGCUCACUGACAUUACACGAAGUGAACAAGAGGCUGAGAGGGGCAUAGGGAGUUGAGAAAGGGAAGGAGAGAGUUCUAGACAUUAGGACGGAGUGGGCCCUGUUUCUGGGAGGUGCCCUGGAGUAGGUGGCAGCAUCUGGAGGGAAACAGAAGUGCCUAGGGGAGCCCGGCCUUAUCAUGGGACUCCUGGGUCUGCCACAGUGCUUGUGCUCAAGCAGGAUAUGGAAGCUGCCAACCAAUGUUUCUAGAGGCACCACACAUGAUGGGGGAAAGGCUUUGUUGACAUUCUUCUCCAAUGCCUGGGUUUUUCAUUAGACCCUGGGAGUCACUGCACAACUCUGGGUGGGGAGUAACCUAAGAAUAAAUAAGCUUACAUUUUCCAUCAGUUUGGGAAGCUGAGAUCUGAAGUUGAAUUCAGUUUAUUUAAAAUAUAUAAAGAAGGUAGUUUUUUGAGCAGGUGGUUUUAUGCACAGAUUCACACCUACAUAUACAUAUCAGUCAUUUAUCCACUCAGUCAACAAAGGCUUACUAAAUAAUAGCUAUAUGUCAGAACCUAUACCAGAUAAUGUUGAUACAGAAAUGAUGAAGCAGAGGUUCCUGAAAGUCAAGUGAGGGAAACAGCCAAGUUAACAAGUAUAUCAGGUAUCUUUUGCUAUGUAACCAAUGACCCAGAAAUGCAGUGGCUUGAAACAACAACCAUUUAAUGAGCUCAUGAUCAUGUAACUUGGCAUUCCGGAGUUCUGUUCUAGGCCAGGCUCUGCAGCUCCAGAUGGACUUGCUCAUGUGUCUGCAGUCAGCGGCCAGAUCGGCUGGGGGUUGGGUCAGCUGAGGGCUGGCUGCUCAAAAAAUAACUCAGCUGCAACAGCUGGAUGCUGUCUCUACAUGGUCUCUUAUCAACCAGAGGGCUGCCCUGGGCUUGUUCCCAUGGAUUCUCAGGGUAUGAAAAGCAUCAUUGCAACCCCAUGCAUAAACUCCUUUCAAGUCUCUGCUUGCGUCAGGCUUGCUACUGUCCCAGUGAUGAAGGCAAUCAUAAGGUCAGCCUCAACCCAAGGAGGGAGAAAGACUCCUACUCUUCGAGGAACAGCAGAGUCACAUUACAAGGGUGUGGAUACAGAAAGAGGAAGAACGUGUGGCCAUCGUUGCAUCCACCACAAUUAGUAAAUGCAACCCAGUGUGUUCAAAGCUAUGGCAAAGGGUUGUAGUAGGUACAAAAGAGUGCACGUCACAGGGUGGGAAGCUCCAUCAGGGAUGGGUCAGAGACAGUUUUAGCCUGAAAAUGAUACUUGAGCCAGAUUUGGAAAUACAAAAUUGUGGAAGGAAGAAAUGAUCUGAUAUAUCCAGGAAACCAGAAGAGUUCUCCGGAGGGCACAGUGCAAGGUGAGGGGUGCCUUGGGAGGGAAGAGCCCGAGGAGAAGGAGGGGCCACUGGGGCAUUUCUCUACAUUUCUAACUAAGCCCAGAUCUUCCCUGUUCUAUUGUGAUUCCAACCACUUGUCCCUGUCCUGCCCUCUGGAGUCACACGAAUCACACCCCUCUCUUCCCUGGAGAGAGCAUGUAUUUUCCUCUAUAUAUUCAGCUUCUCCCUCCCACCACCUCAACAUCAUAAACCUUUUCUCAAAGGGUUCCCACACUUUGCUGCUUCCUGUUCUAAAUGGCCUCCAAAGCAGAAGCAGAGUCUGACGCAAGCAGAGCUCAGUGGGCUUUCCCCAAGUGUCUUCCUAACCCCUAAGACAGGUUGAGAACAAGGGUGCUGAGCCCCAGUACUUGGUUGUGAGGCCAUGAUGCCGUCACUGUCUCAGCAGCCCCAAGGAAAAGCAUGGGAGUGCUCACUGGAGCUUCACAUUGAUCCUUCCUAAGGGUUCAGGGAUGGGGCUGGGGAAGUAUGGAGGGCAGUGGCGCUGGGUCCACACUUGAGGGAUGGCAACUCAGGCAUCUAAUCAAACAGUCCUGUUUUGCACCAAUGCCCGUAAGGGCAGGUCUUAUGUGUGAUUGUUAUUCAUUCACUUAUUCAAUAAAUGCACAUGGAUACCUGCUCUGUGUCAGGCACUGCCCUACUCUGUGGGACUAAGGCAUGAGGCAGACCUGGUCUCCGCCCCGAAGUUCAUUCCAGUCAUUUAAGAGGAAGGAACAGGUUUGUAAAGGAGCCUCCCCCGUGGUCCUUGAGUGACAUGAUGAGGGCUUAUCAGGCUCUGAAUCCACAGGGCAGGGACAUCACCACAUCUGGGCACCCUCAGCAAGCUGUGACCUGCAGAGUUAACAACAGUGAGUGUUUGCAUGACCAUGUCCUAUAGCAGCCACUGUCCUAGAUGCUUUCCACAGGUCCACCAGUGAAGCCUCUCACAACCCUGCGAGGUGGGCGGAGUGCUCUCCAUCUUAAGAUGCGGGGAGGGAGCAGGGAGAGGACACUUAGGGGUCCCAGACCCCCAGGCCUGGGGUAGGGUUGGGACACAGGCAGCAGCUGCUGCAGGCAGCUCUGCUCCACCCCAGGUUCUCUGAGGGAGGGCGAGGACAAUUUUCCAGUCCAGGGACCAGCUGUGAGGAGAUUCAGGUGUGGAGACCUGAAGGGAUUCAGGGGGACCUUGUGUGACUAAGACUAGGGGGAAGAGUUUCAAACAGAGGCAGGGGGAGGUUGGCGGGAAGCCACACCCCACCACAGUCUGUCCCCAUUCCCUGCAGCAUCUCUCUCCUUGAGAAAUGGAAACUCCACGGGAGCAAGGAAACGUUCAAGUCCAUUUUGGUAAAGAAUUAUAUAAUUUCCCACCCACGUUUUCCCCUUGCCCCAAGCCCCCAUCACCAGUUGCCAGGUGUGCCUGUUGUCGUGGCCCACCCCACUGGACUAGGUCAGCAAUGAUGUCACACAGGGCUCUGGAAGCUUGGCGCUCACUCAGCUCCCAGAAGUUCUCAGAGGGUGAGGGUCCCACAUCUCCUGCAGGACAGGCCCUAGCUACCGAGUCACAGAAACCCAGGGCCGAAGCAAAGUCCCAAUCCCAGAGAGGCUGGGGCAUACCUACAACUGAAAGGAGGCUUAGAAAUCCUUCAGAGACCACCCUAUCGGUUCUCCUCCACCUGGACAGGAUGAGCCAGCAACACAGAAGGAAGAGGCCUUCCUCCGAAAGGUAUAGAGGCCAGAAGAGGUCAUUGUCUCCAAAUAGCAAGCAAGACCUCUCCGAGGCUGACUUUGUGCAGUCUGUAGGUGUAUUCAUGCCGUGGCUCAAAUCUUUAAAUCCAACUUUAAAGA